UCCCCCUCGCCCCCCAUCCGCACCGACUUGGGCUGGACACUGCCCCGCGGGGAAUCUGGAGGGUCGGUGGCGCCAGAGAAGAGCCUGCGCGGGCGCAUGCCCCACGUCCGGGGCCGAGGCAGUCAUUGCCGGUAUCAUGGAGACAGAGAGCCUCAGCAGCCAGGGUCGCUCGGAGAUGACUGAAGGCAGAAGAACAACCUCAGCGGCCGCCGCGGGUCGGGCGCACAAACCCGACUACCCCGCCUUCCGGGGCGCCACCACCGGAAGUGCCACCGAGAAGCGGCGGCCACCAGGCGGGCUAGAGCGGCCCUCUGCGCAGGUGAGUCACCCGGAAGCGGCUUUGGGGCCCCGCCCCCCGCUGCCGGGCAGGAGUGCGCGGCGGGGGCGGACCCUUAGUUUGGUCUCCCGGGAGGAGGCGGCCGCGGACCUUCGCCGACUGCUGUUCCUGUUCUCAGGGGCGCGCGGAAGCCGAGAACAGGGAUGGAGGAAAUAUCCACCCAGGAAGAAGCAGGAUCGCCAAGGGUCCAGUGGCAGUCUUUGGAGACUCAAGCUGAGGGUCUGUCUCCAGAGCCUCAGCUCAUGCAGGAGAGCAACACGGAACAGGGACUCACUGGGGGACUUUGUGACAUUCGAGGAUGUGGCUGUAUACCUCACUCGAGAGGAAUGGGGAUGCCUGGACCCUGUUCAGAGGGAUCUCUACAGAGAAGUGAUGUUAGAGAAUUUUGGGAACGUGGUCUCACUGGAGUGAAAGGUCCUCGAAGUCCUUGAGGGGAUGGACCAUUAUCUGCUUGGGCUCUUUAUACCUACAUGCUUUGCAUGUGGGAGACACUCCAUAAAUCUUUGUUGAAUAAACAAGAGUGUAAGCUCCUAAUGGGUAAGGAUGUGUCAUAUUCUUUGUUUCCUCAUGUGCACUGAAGCUAAUUUGUUUCUUGAGAUUGGUUCUUGAAAUAUUUAUUCAGCCUUCAUUGCUUCUGUUGCUACAUUUUAGCUCACCAUACAACAGGUGCUUGGGUACUCACCUUUCUCCAGCCUAGCAAAGUUAUAUUUUGAUGAUCUCUAUCUUGAUACUUGUAGACCAGAUCUAAUACAAUGAUUGAUCUUUAAGCAGCAGAUGAGGAGUGGUAAUGAUAACUUCUGUGGAGGCAGGUAUGCAUCCAUUCAAAAAUUCCUUUGCCUGCAUAAUGUUUAAAUGAAUACUUAUGCUCCCAAGUUAUCAACUUGCCCUUAACACACCUCUUUGUAGAAGACAAAUUCGGAACCCCUUGACGAGGCUCUUUGCCCCUCUCACUCUCCAGGCCUUCCUAAUGUCUUCUAAGGAUUUACCUUCUCUCUCCCAUUAUCCAUUAGGUAAAAGAAAAAGUGGCUGAUGUAGCAUCUGGGCAUAAAUUGCCACAUGCCAUUUUCUUCUCUGUGAGUAGGAUUUCUACUUUCCAAGCCUGAUGGGAUCUCCCAGCUGGAACAAGAUGUACAGGUCAUUGAUCUGGAAACUAAGAAUAGAGAAGUCUUAAGAGAUGGCUGCUCAGAUGGAGUGACCAGAGAAGAGAACAAAUUGAUUCCUAAGCAGAAAAGCUCUGAAGAUGUACACUCACACAGGCUGAGAGUAGGAAGACUCAAACAGGUUAUUGCUCAAGUUCCUGAGACUAGAGAAGUGUAUGAACCUGGGGACAGAUUAGUAAGAGAGUUUAGGCAAAUAACAAUCAGCAAGAAAGCCUGCACUGAUGAGAAGAUCAGUGAAUGUAAUGAACCUGAAAAAGCUUCAGUAGGGCCUCUAACUUUGAUACAAAUCAGAGAGUUUUUAGAUUACAGAAUAUUGAUGACAAUGAUAAGUAAGACAUGAGCCUCAACCAGAAUUCAGUUCCUGGUAAACAUGAACAAAUAAAUCUAACACAAAACUUGCAGAAAGGGGAAUAUAAGGGAAGCUUAAUGGCUCUCUCCCAUCUUAAUAAAUGUGAGAGCAUUCCUACUUGAGGACUCCUGUAAAUGUGAUGCAUGUGAUAAAUCCUGUAGUCAGAACUCAGCAAUAAUUCAGCAUAAGAGAGUUCACAUCAGAGUAAAAUCUUAGUAUUUUAACAACUGGGAGUCUUUAGCUGUUGUGUGUAUAUUACUCAACAUCAGAGAAUUCACAGAGGCCUUCUCUCUCUCUACUAUGUGGCAGUGACUUCUGCCCUACCUCAUGCCUAAUUGAACAUCAGAGGGGCCUGUGAGUGCAGUGAAUGUGUGUUGACUUUUUUAAACAUCAGGAAUCAUUUCAGAGAAAAACCCUAUACUGGUAGUGAAUGUGGGAAGGACUUCAGAUUGAGUCCACAUCUCAUUAAGCACAAAAGAACUCACCACAGGAGAGAAAACACAUGAAUGUAAGGAAUGUGGAAAAGCUUUCUUGUCAAACCACAUGCCUUAUUCAGCAUCAGAAAAAUCCCAGGAAAGAGAAAUCAUGUGGAUGGAAUGAUUAUAAGGAAAGUUGCAUUUAUAGCUCAGGUCUUAACAUGCAACAAGAAGUUGCUCACCAGAGAAAAUGUCUUUAUGAUGCACGUGGAAAGAGCACACCUUGUUCAACAGCAAAGAAUUCACAUCAAAAGGAAACCUGAGUGUAAUGAAUGUGGAAAGGCGUUUCUUCAAAGUCCAGGCCUCAACAUCGGGGAGUUCACACCAGGGAGAAAUCUCUUAUGUAUUCAGUGUGGUGUGUUCUUCAGUCCUAGCUCAGCACUUACUCAGCAUUGGAGAAUUCACAACAGGAGAAACCCUACGAAUGUGAGAGGUGUAGGAAAGCUUUUAGUUACUGUUAAACUUUUAAUCAACACCUGGAAAUCCAUACCAGUGAGAAAACCUAUGAAUGUGUUGAAUGUGGUAAAUGCUUCAUGCUAUCAUCAUACCUUAGUCAUACCUUAGUCACUUGUAGAAUUCAUACUGGAGUAAAAUUCCAUCACUGGAUUGAAUGUGAAAAAGCCAUCAGUCAAAGCAACUACUUGUUCAGCAUCAAAUUCAUGCCAUGCAGAAAGCCUUUGAAUGCAAUAAAUGUGUAUGUGUCAGAGGGAUGAGUCGUAAUUCAACCCUUAUUCAAUAUCAAAGAAUCUAUACCCAAGAGAAGUCAUCUGAGUGUAGUAAAUGGCAAAUCUUCCAGUUAAGAGUUUCCAGUCCUUUACACCAUCAGAAUAUCCAUACCAGAAUCUGAUGUAAUGCAAGUGGAAAAAUUUAUCACCAUAUUUCAUAUUAGUAAACACAAAAUCUCAUAUUGGACAGAAAAUUGUUGGUUAUUUGGAAUGAAAUCUGUAAUAUACAGUCCCAAUUUUAAUCAUUGCAGAAGAAUCUAACCUGAAGAGUGACUUGGUAAAUGCUGUGCUGUUUUCUCAUGGUAUUCUCCUAUUUAAUAUAACAGGUGUUGUGUUAGUAUAUUCAUUUUAUUUAUGGGACUCAUUGAAGCUAUUUUAUUUUAAUAUGGUGUGUAAGCUUUUUUUUCCUGAAAUUGUUUCUUAAUGUUCACAGCUUCCCUAAGCUAUCACUGAUGCCUCAAUGUUAAAAUAUAGACCUCUGGAAAGUAUAUACUCCUUUAGGUUUUUUUGCUAUUCUCAGCCCAGGUUUUCUCCAAAACAGACUUUUAGUCCUGCUGUUUUCUGAGGACCCUACAUCCUAUUCCUUUACAGCCACAACACAUGGGUUCUUGUUUUCUCCAUCCUCUUGAGUAGAUUAAAAAGAUAGUUUCCUAGUUUUAAGCUUUUCACCAGCAGGUACACUAUCCCUACUUGAUAUUGCUAUUCUGGUGUCAUUUAUUAGAAAACAGCAAUUAUCUAUCCGUGAAUAUGAAGAAUUUUUUUGUCUCUCCUGAGUUUGCAGCAGGCAGCUAAAACAUUUUCAAGUGACGCCCAAGUUCUUAGCUGCUUUGGCUGUAUUCACAGUGUUCCAAAAGAGAUGAUAAGGACGUCAGGGAGCCAACAAGAAUCCUUGUGGCCCAGCUGCAUUCAUUCAGUACCUGUUCUGAGUGCCGAAGUUCAGGAUUCUCUCAUAUGCUUCUACUGGAGACCAGCAGAAUGCUCAGGUCUGCUUUAGAGGGGCAAAACAAAAAGAACAUGCAAAAAGCCAGAGAGCUUCAUAAAGGAAUGCAGCUUUCCAACAAAGAUGUUGCUAUUCUUAUGUAAUGUUCUCUAGAAACAAUAUUUCAAGUGAGUUACAGUCUGUCGCUGGUAAUAUUUUUACCAUUAGGGUUGCUCUAUUAUCUGUUUGGAUUUUCCUCCCAACCUUCCUCUCAUCGAUCCAGGACAAGUAUUUGAAGUAUGCAGCUUUGUGUAUAAUUGUUUAUUCAUUAUCACUUUGUGUGUGUGUGUGUGUGUUUUACUGGAAUCUACAGGCCUUAUAAAAAGAACAUGUGAUCAGAGAUGUUGGCUCCAGAAUUCAGAGUCACUGUCCUGUACCUAGUAAGAGCUCAUGCUUCUUUAGGUAGUGUCAAAGCAUUUAUUGUUUUCUUCCAUCUUAAGCUAAAUAACAUUUUGUAACUAAGACAGGGGUUACUUGAAAUUCUAGUUGUCAACCCAGAAAAUGAGGCCUUUGGAGUUCAGAUGUUAUUUUAAUAACUCACUAGAGAGCCUCAAUAAAUAUAUAAAAAUUUAUUGCUGAGUCACACCUUUGCAGCCAACCUGAAGGACAGUUCUGCCACUAUAUUUUAUCUCUGCCCUCAACAAGCAUAGGAUCUCCUAAGAGCAAGGUAGGGAUUGAAAUGAAAUUGGUAAGUGAAAAAUGCAUGUUUUUUUUCCUAUGGGUAAACGUACCCUUACGGAGACCAGUAGUCACCUCUGGUGUCUAUGAAACAAGGAUGAAGUUAUCCCUAAGUAGCAGAUAACAUAAAGGCACGUGUAUUCAUUUGGUUUAAGAAUAUGCUUUUGUACUUUCACUUGAAUAAAGGUAUGUUUGAUAUUCUGAGAAUCUGUUCCAAACAAAAUCUGAAGGCCUCAGCCAGAAGCAUUUGGGAAUCUUAGAAUCUCCUUCCUGCCUGUGACUCAGCUCCCCCCUGAAAAGAGUGGGUUGCUCUUCUUCAUACUGAUGCAAAGCUUACUCUUUCACAAACUUAUGAAACAGAAACUGAAUGUUUUGGAUUUAAAGGUUUCUCUGAUUGGGAUGUUGACAGUAUAUAAAAUAGGAAGGAGCACAUAGCUUGAGGUUUCAGUGGAACUAGGCAGAAUGUAUUUUCUUAAUAAAUAAAAGCAUAUUUUAAAAAAAUGAAAAACCACAAUAAUCCUUAAGGGCAAGGUUCUUGCCUCUUUGAGUUGAUAUUUAAUUGAUCCAAUAUAAUACGAGUUUGUGUUCUUAGUAAAUGUUUGAAGGAGAAAAGAAAUGUAAUGGUCGAGGAGCACCUGAUCUAUUUAAGCUACCUACCUCUCUGUUUACCUACUUACCCCUACAUGUGUGUGAGGACGUUUUCAAACUUAAUCCUCACAACAGCUCUACAAAGGGGUUUUCUCCAUUUUAUAGAGGAACUGAGGUGUAGAGAGGUUAAAGAACUUGUUAGGAUCACACAGCAAAUUAGUGGGACCAAUUCAGAUUUGUUUGAUUCCAAAAUUUUCUGUCAUCAUCAUAAUAUUGUUAGACACAUACCAGAACGCAGAGACGUGUUUAUAGCUCUUCAUUUCCUAUAUUACACCCCCAGGGAUUCAAUAUCAAUUUACUAAAUGAUCCCAAAUGCUUCCAGAGCUCUCUGGACUGCCAGGUGAGAACAGCUAGAACAUGUAGAUGUUUUUUUAUGAUCACAGCCCCUCCUUGAAACAGGCUGAGACCAUACAUGCUAGAAGAUGAAGCUCCUAAAUCCAUGUUUUCCUGCCAAGAUCCCCACCACCACCACUCCUUAAACAUAUGCCGGAAUUGGGCUCUUAAUUUUUUCUGCUGACUAGAAUUUUCUGUUGGACAUGCAUCCUUACCAAGAUUUACCUCUGGUUAUUUCUACAUCAGCAGUGGAACAAAGCAAUGGGUAAUGGGAAGAAUCAAGUUUGAUUUCCAGGUUUUUGUCUUGAGCAAAAGACAGGUGGCUAGCGGUAGACUGGAGAGGAGGAACACUGGAGGAGCAGGGAGAGUAGACAAAAGGGAAUGCUUGUCAGAAGCCUGCAGAUGAAGGUGAGUAUGGAAUCUCCAGGGUAAUGAAUAGGUGAGCUCUGGAGAAAAGCCUCACCCUAGGAAGCAGUACCUGGAUGGUUUAGGAGGUAUAAGAACAAAGGUCAAAGUUCCUGGGGCAUCAUCUCAGCAAAGCACAAUGGGAGUCCCACAUCUGAAAAACCUAACCCCAUCCAUCCAUGCAGCCAGUGGGUGUAGUUAACCUAAUCAGUGCUUUACACUCCAUUGACUAAAGACCCAAACAGACCAGAGUGUAGCCACGGCAGAGACUUUGGAAUUGGACUUAACUAUGUCUGAGCUGUGCUCUGCUCUUGACUGGCUGCAUGACCUUAGAAAUUUUACCUAACCUUUUUCAUGUCUUUGUCUAUAAAAUGUAAUCAUAUUAUGAAAAUUAAGUGAAACAGUGUAAAAGUUUCUGUAUACAUAGUAAGUGCUCAAAAAGUUACUGUUAAUAUAAAAGUAACAUUAUAAAAGCCAAUAGUAAUCUAAGAGAGAUGGUUAACAUAAAACCCAAAAAACAAGGAUUAAUGAGCGAGUAUUUAGCAGUUUGGGACUAGCAUUUCCCUGGAUUUGGAAAACUUAAGUAUGACUAGCGAAAGGAUCAGGCAUUCCGGGCAGGCCUGAGGGGCACUCCCUGCUGACAUCAGCAGUGUGUCUUCUGUCCGGUUUCAUUCUAACCAGUAUCAUAUGGCAUCCCAGUUUAUACUCCCUCCAAAAUGUGAGCAAAGGAAGGAACCAAGACUGAUGUUAGGUGGUGCUGUGUGCAAGUCAAUAGGAAAAGAAAUAC